rnacentral:tRNA from 1 species
GAUGUAGUUCACUGGGAGAAUGCUUGCCUAGCAUGCAUGAGGCCCUGGGUUCAAUCCCUAGAACA